rfam:Sphingobacterium sp. ML3W, complete genome.
UGAAAACUUUAGGGGUGUCUGCAAGAUUUGCAGGCUGAGAUUUUACCCUUAGAACCUGAUCCGGAUCAUACUGGCGUAGGGAAAAGUAAGAUGUCUUCA